CAAUAGCGUAUAUUAAAGUUGUUGCGGUUAAAAGCUCGUAGUUGGAUUUCUGUCGAAGGCGGCCGGUCCGCACUAUGUGCGUGUAUCUGGUUCGGUUUGGCAUCCUCUUGGGGAACGUUUCUGUGCUUGAUUGCAUGGGGCGGGAUUCAAGACUUUACUUUGAGGAAAUUAGAGUGUUCACGGCAAGCUAUCGCUUUGAAUACAUUAGCAUGGAAUAAUAAUAUAGGCAUGAGCGUCUAUUUUGUUGGUUUCUAGAUGCUCAUGAAUGAUAAAUAGGGACACUUGGGGCGAUUCGUAUUACGACGUCAGAGGUGGAAUUCUUAGAUUGUCGUACGACGAACUACUGCGAAAGCAUUUGCCAAGGAUGUUUUCAUUGAUCAAGAACGAAAGUCGAGGGAUCGAAGAUGAUUAGAU
rnacentral:rRNA from 1 species